UCGGCAAAGAGCUACACCGAUAUCAGACCCCCAAAUGGAGUUAGACAUAACGUUCGUCCUUCUGUUUGAAUUUAGUUAUAAGAGUUGCCAUAUUCAGACAAAAGAGAAGAGUUGUUAAUUUGGCUGGCAACCUCGGUUACUAAACCAAUAAACCAUGUGUAGUGUCCGCGAAAAAGAUAAGCCAAGAGGUACCCGAAAACUAGACGUUAAGAUUAAAAUCUCGGAACUAGAGGGUGAAUUACAACGAAUGAAAGAAUUCCCAACUAAACAAAGAAUAAGUA